UACAACAGCCACAUUGUCUGCAGUAUAGCAUC
rnacentral:piRNA from 1 species